rnacentral:lncRNA from 1 species
GGCGGCUCAAACCCGUUGGUGGCCUAAGGCCAAAUCAAACUAGAGGCCUUAAAAAAAAAUUAUAAAUGUUUUUAUUUUAAAUCUAUUUUUCUAGUUUUUUGAGAUGCAAAGUUGUUAAUAAUUUUUGUGUAGUCAAUCUCUUCUAAUAAUUCUUUUUCAAUUGAUAAUAUAGCCAAACCACUUAAUCUUUCUUGAGACAUUAUCGAUCUUAAAUAAUAUUUUAUUAUUUUAAAUUUUGAAAAACUUCUUUCGACUGAGGCGACUGUUACGGGAAUUGUUAACAUUAUUCUUUAAGCAAUGUAAGCAUUUGGAAAAGAAUUAAGUCUUUUUAUUUGAUUGAGUAUCUCAAUUAGAGUAUUGUCUUCUACUUUUAUGAUUUCCCUUAACACUUUUAAUUCAGAAAAUAAGUCUAAACCGUCAAUAUCAGAGUGAGUAUUAUGUUUUAAGGAACAUUCAAGUUUAAGACAAUAUUUUUUCAAAUUCUCAUCAUCUAAUGAUCUCAAUUUUUUCCCACUAAAUAGAAAACCAAAAAUAUUUUCAUAUACUUCAAAUUGUUCAAAUCUAUUUU